UAGGCUGAAGUCCGCUGGAUUGGGCGAUUAGUUGUUAACUAGGUUUUCACGGGAUCGAAGCCCGUCAGUCUGG
rnacentral:tRNA from 1 species